rnacentral:rRNA from 1 species
CGGACGGGUGAGUAACGCGUGGGCAACCUGCCCUGUACAGGGGGAUAACACUUAGAAAUAGGUGCUAAUACCGCAUGAGCGCACAAAGGCGCAUGCCUAUGUGCGGGAAGCCCGCGAGGGCGGUACGGGAUGGGCCCGCGUCUGAUUAGCCAGUUGGUAGGGUAACGGCCUACCAAAGCGACGAUCAGUAGCCGGCCUGAGAGGGUGGACGGCCACAUUGGGACUGGGACACGGCCCAAACUCCUACGGGAGGCAGCAG